GGAAAACUGAUCAUCUCUUCAUUCUUAGUUCUUGGUCAUUUCCCAGACACACUUGUCUACAAGGUCUCACAAUGGUUGAAGCAGACAUAGGAAUGAGGUUUUAUUAGUGCCAUCCCUUUUUAAAGAGAUAUGGGCAACGAUCGAGAACUGAGGCAGUUCUAUUGCUCAUGAAGGCAGGGGCCUUUGAAGGGAUGUGGAUGUCCCGAGCGAGCAGCCCCUAUACUGUGACGGCACACAUACUGUGGCUAUCUCCGAUUUGAGGAAUAGAAUUGACGGUCUUCAGGGGGAUAUAUGAGGACAGCAUUGACACCCUGGCCGAGUCUGUAUUACAGCCUGCAUCACAGCAGGAAUUCAGCAGGUUUUAAAGCUCACCUUUUCAUUCAUUACAGAUUCUCCACAAAUUCUCCAGUUGCUUCUAAG